rnacentral:rRNA from 1 species
CCCAAUGGCUCGUUUCAAACCGAGCUUUCGACCGCGACCCCAGGUCAGACGGGAUUACCCGCUGAGUUUAAGCAUAUCAAUA